CCCUUAGAUGUCCUGGGCCGCACGCGUGCUGCACUGAUGCAUACAGCGAGUACUCCCAGCUCCGAGAGGCUGCUGGUAAUCAGCAAUAUGCAUCGUGAUGGGGAUAGAUCUUUGGAAUUAUAGAUCUUGAACGAGGAAUUCCUAGUAAUCGCAGGUCAUCACCCUGCGUUGACUAAGUCCCUGCCCUUUGUACACACCGCCCGUCGCUCCUACCGAUUUCGAGUGAUCCGGUGAAUCAUUCGGACCGCGGCCCCUAGGCAUGCGGAAAGUCUAGUAAACCAUAUCACUUAGAGGAAGGAGAAGUCGUAACA
rnacentral:rRNA from 1 species